rnacentral:rRNA from 1 species
UCGAGAAUCUUCGGCAAUGGGCGAAAGCCUGACCGAGCGACGCCGCGUGCGGGAUGAAGGCCUUCGGGUUGUAAACCGCUGUCGUAGGGGAGGCCGAUCCUAGGAGGAAGGGCCGGCUAAUCUCGUGCCAGCAGCCGCGGUAAUACGAGAGGCCCAAACGUUAUUCGGAAUUACUGGGCUUAAAGAGUUCGUAGGCGGCUUGGAAAGUGGGGUGUGAAAGCCCUCGGCUCAACCGAGGAAUUGCGCUCCAAACUCCCAAGCUUGAGGAGGCUAGAGGUGAGCAGAACUGAUGGUGGAGCGGUGAAAUGCGUUGAUAUCAUCAGGAAUACCGGAGGCGAAGGCGGCUCACUGGGACCUUUCUGACGCUGAGGAACGAAAGCUAGGGGAGCGAACGGGAUUAGAUACCCUAGUAGU